rnacentral:rRNA from 1 species
UACGUAGGGGGCUAGCGUUGUCCGGAAUCAUUGGGCGUAAAGCGCGUGUAGGCGGCUUAGUAAGUCUGCUCUGAAAGUCCGAGGCUCAACCUCGGGAUACGGGUGGAUACUGCUGGGCUAGAGUGCGGAAGAGGCGAGUGGAAUUCCUGGUGUAGCGGUGAAAUGCGCAGAUAUCAGGAGGAACACCAAUUGCGAAGGCAGCUCGCUGGGACGUUACUGACGCUGAGACGCGAAAGCGUGGGGAGCAAACAGG